AAACAGACGGAUUCAUUCACGGGCGUCCUCGAAGACUAAACUCGCGUUUCGUGUGGAGGAAUUCGGAUACUGCGUGCAAAGAAAGAAAGAACUCACAUCGGCAAAGAAAAUCGCAAAGAAGCAGGGAGAAUCCGGCGAAACCGUCUGCAUUGUUCAAUCGUUGAUCUCGUUUCGUUUUCCUUUGCUAUUCAGGUAAUGUUCCUCUCUAAUGUGAUACUUGUGUGAUGAUUAAGGCAUCAGUUUUGUAUACCGAUACCGACACCGAUGCGGUUUUGCGACGAUCCUGAAUAUGCAAAGAAAAUGGUGGAAGAAACAUGGAGCAAACAUAAAGAGGCUGAGAAGACUGCAUUUGAAGAGGCAGAGAAGAAGAAAGAAGAGGAGGUAAAUUCCACAUAAGAUGUUUGAUUUCUAUUUGGUCAUUCCCACCAAUCCACUUUCACAAGAUGCUUCUGCUAGAUUUGAGUCUGUAUAGACUUUUUUUACAUGAUCUUGUGUGUUCUUCUUC